rnacentral:lncRNA from 1 species
GGUAAAGCAACGGAGCAGAUUGGCUAGAGCCGUGUUUCAGGACAGUAGCAGUGUGGGGGGGCUGCCCUGCCAGGGCCCCCCCCAGACGAGAACCAGAUAGAAAUGGGAAGUCACCUGGCAAGAGAAGAAGAUGCAUCAGCGGAGGUAGGACUUCACAAGGAGACGCUUUUGAUUGGCUAGAGAAGAUGGGGCUCAGUUCAUCUGCACCGUCCCCAUCACCACCAGCCCUCAGCCUCUCGUUGCACUUUCUGUCCCCUAGAGUCCCAUUCUGUUCUGGCAGCGGUUCCAGGCGUCUUGUGCCAUGGCCAGGGAUUUGGUACCUUUCUCUCUCCAGAGACAGUAGCAGCCUCUAGCAUUUUCCAUUGAGAGCUGCCUCCUGGCACAGACACUGCCUUGAGUGCAACAUCACCUGCAGAGGCCCACCUUGUGUCCAGUUCUGUGAGGAACUGCACCCUAAUGGGAGGAGAUCGGAACCUUUUUAAGAGUCAGGUCUUCCUGGAAGUUGGAUUUGUUUGUUUAGCUUGUUUGUUUUUUCUGUCUCAAGGCCUCCAUUUGCAAUACAAUUUGCCCAUAUUUUGGGAAGGAAGGAAAGAGGGACAGGCAGAUGGGUACACACAGUCUGUUUCGGCACUCGCCUGCGGUUGAGUCCUGCGCCCUGGAACUCCAUAGAACUUGGUAGCUUCUUCAGUAUUGAAGACCUUAACCCUGGGUGUUCCUCAAUCCUGCAUCCUGGGAUGAUACAGCUCCCAGACUAGAGGGAGCACUUGCUGUCUUCCUAGCAUCUGGUCCUCUGGUCUCAUUACUUACUUACCGUUGCCUUAGCUCUGAGUUAAAGACAAGCACCUAGCCCUAGGAGGAGAAUUAUCUUUCUUCCAGCAAGUCUGACAGCUAGGCCCGUGGAAAGUAGGCAGCACAUCAGAAGCCAGGCUUCUGGGCUGUGUGCUAUAGAGUGAGAGCAACCUUAAUAGGAGACAACAGGGUAAGGGGACACCUUAUUUUUAAAAGCUGGGCUUUAGGGCACAAGGCAGAAAACAUUUCUCCUCCCAGGAGCUAGAGCAAAUGCCAGUGCCAGGACAGCAACAGUGAGAUAAUUGCGGGGAUAAGAAUCCUGAGACGCUGGGAUCUGCUCACACUCCAGUCCCAAAGUAGCUGAGUGCACUGCAGGCAGAGGAUAAGGAGGGAAGUGUCUUCUGUUAACUCCGAUAAGCAGGUGAUGUGCCUCUGCCUCUCUAGUGGAGCAUCCUGCAGCUGUAGGUGGGGUGGCCUGUGUCUCCUUCAGAGAUGCCCGCUAAGUGCUCUCGUGAUGCUAGACCACCAAGCAGAGGAGGCAGCACAGCUUCAGUUACCCACAUAAACAGUCUGUUCUCCUGUCCUCCAUGGUGGCCAUGAGCACCCGAUUCUUCUACUGUCUCGAAGGGCUGUCAUGCAGUCUCCACAAAUCCCCCUGGGUGAGACCAUCUUCAGUUUUUGGUCCUCUACUGUUGUCUUGAGUCCCAGGAAGACACCUUGGGCUUAGUUCAGGGUGACAUUGUAUUCUGGCCCUUCUUGCUACAGUUCAGCAUCACUUCCAUGAUCUUCCUUCAAGUUUGCCUGUAGUUCACCUCAAGGUGCCACCUUGAAACACCUACUUCAAGGGACCAGGAGAUGCCAGGUUUGCCCCCUCCCGCUAUCUUCUUCCCUAGCCCUGUCCUUCUGUCACUGUCACGCCUCCCUCCCUGUCCCUUUCUGCUUCUCUGUCCAGCAGAGGAGAAGCUGCAAAGGACAAAAAAAUAAAAUUAAAUUAAAAAAUC